rnacentral:rRNA from 1 species
AAGCGGUGGAGUAUGUGGCUUAAUUCGAGGCUACGCGCAAAACCUUAUCCCAGGCUUGACAUGCACGGAUUAGCCGGCGGAAACGUCGGUGAGGCCGCAAGGUACAACGUGCACAGGUGCUGCAUGGCUGUCGUCAGCUCGUGUCGUGAGAUGUUGGGUUAAGUCCCCUAACGAGCGAAACCCCUGCGGCCAGUUGCUAGCGGGUAAAGCCGAGAACUCUGGCCGGACUGCCGGUGUGAAACCGGAGGAAGGCGGGGAUG